rnacentral:sRNA from 1 species
UAUACCAUAAAUCCCAAAACCUAAAAUCUUAUCCCUAAACCCGAAAACCCUAAAACCUAAACCCUAAACCCUAAACCCUAAACUCUUAACCCUAAACCCUUAAACCUAAACC